UAUACAGUGGGGAAAGAUACAUUAGUGAAAUGUAGAAUAAGGUCAAUCCCAUGUAACAUUACACGGAUAAAGAGAAUUUGGAUUUGGCACCGCCUGCAGCAUAUACUCUAUAUUGGACCUAGAGAGACAUUAGGGUGUUACACGAGCAACACUGAGGACAGUGUUAAGCCAAAUAAAGAAACCCAGAUUACUGCAACUAAAUAAAAAGAUAGAGGUUCCCAAUGUGUAAAAUAUGGGUUGUAUGAUCCUAAAAGUGCAUUCCAAAGAAACUGUGAAAAAUAUUAUAAUGACAAUAAAUAUACAAUGUGUGAAACUACAAAAAAUUAUGGGAUCCAUUUGCAUGGAUAUAUUGGUUUAUAUAUUGACAUAGGUUAAUAUUAAUAUAUUAAUAUAUUAUUAUACAUUAAUAUUGGUUAGGUGAAACUACUGAAUGAAUUAGUGUAUAUUCAAAAGGAUUGAGAACUCUUGUGGGAAAAUGUGCUUAAUGAAAAUGGAACUGAAAGGGAUCAAAUGAUAAUACAAUUCAUUUGUAUUAUUUAUUAUUUAUUUAUUUGGUGAUACAGGAACUAAUAUUAGAGCAUUACUGUGAAAAGCAUUAAAGCCCAAAAAUUUAGAUGAAAAACAGAGAAUCUCAUGAUGGGAUGAGUAUAAAAGAUAAAAAUAAAAAUAUUAAAUAUAAAAAUACCGGGCUAAGCACUUACUAUCCUUUUCCUGUAGUUUGGAUGAGAUUUCAGGUAAAGGAUAGCAGAUUAUUUUGUUCUAUUUCUAAGGAAAUCCCAGAAUACCAUAAUGUUAUGACUAUAUCAGCACCUAAUCACAAAAUGUAAAUUAAUAUUAGUGGCAUGCUAGAUGUCAAAAAGGUUUUGACCAUUGACAGAAGCUUAUGGACUGUUUAUUACUUUACAGGAAGACAAGGCUUAUUUAAAUAUGCCUUUAGAUAGUUAUUUUAGAAGAUUGGACAUUAAUUAAGGAAUUAAUGGUAUGUUGGCUUAAGAAGUCUAUUCGUAUGAGCCCAUAUAUAUGGAUAAUAGAGAGAAUCAUGCUAAAGAAGAUAAAGGGAAAUGAAGGACUCUGUACCCAUUGUAUUGGACAGUAGCUAGACCACAAUAUAUUAAAUUACAUGCAGGAUACAGACAAUGGAUAAUUUAUACUGUAUGUUAUUUUACUAGUAGGAGCUUUCAUUGGGAUUUUGAUUUUGUGAGAACUAAAGGGCCUUGGAGGACUGAUAAGAAGUUUAUUAAAAAUCUGUUAUUCUACAGUCGUUAAUAUUAUCUUGCAGGUGGUUGGGCUUAGUAGGAGUAGAGAUAAAGAGGACAAACAAGUGCUCAUUGAAAGAGGGAUUCAUCGAAAGACCUUGACCGAACGUAGCACUCCUUUGGUGCAUAAGGUCUGAGACUUUACUUCUGAAAUACAUGGCAUUUCAACAGAGUGCCACGAAGGGUGAACAGUUGAGUGAUAUACCAAGGAUAACUCUAAGAAUGAUUCUACCAGCAUUGCUAUUUUGUUAGGAAACGGUGACAACCUUUUGGAAAUUCUGGCAGAGAAAUUUAUGGAAUUCCUGGAGAAGGAGGAUUUAACUCUGACUCAGCCCGCCUUAACGCCCCAAGGUGCUAAGAAUCAAACAAGCGGCUCGCACACCAGAAGGUAUGCCUGGAAUGCCAGAUCCCCUCUCUUGGCUUCUGAAGAGGAUUUCAGAGAGAGGGGAAGAGCCGUGCGUUUCUGAGUGAGGACCCCUGGGGGCGUCAGAUUGAGGCUUGUGUACAUGAAAUUACGAACGGACGAUUGUUGAGAGCAAGAUUUGGACACUAUCUUAGCACUGUCAAGCAGAGCACAAAGAUUUGGUCACCUGAUACUACUGUAUCUGGAAAUUAGA